rnacentral:rRNA from 1 species
AAUCAACGCUGGCGGCGUGCCUCAGACAUGCAAGUCGAACGCGAAAGUCCCCUUCGGGGGACAAGUAGAGUGGCGCACGGGUGAGUAACACGUAGGUAAUCUACCUUCGGAUGGGGAAUAACAACCGGAAACGGUUGCUAAUACCGCAUAAUGCAGCGGCACCUAAUGGUGACAGUUGUUAAAGCGGGGGAUCGAAAGACCCCGCGUCUGAAGAGGAGCCUGCGGCGGAUUAGCUAGUUGGAAGGUAAUGGCUUACCAAGGCGACGAUCCGUAGCCGGCCUGAGAGGGCGGUCGGCCACACUGACACUGACAUACGGGUCAGACUCCUACGGGAGGCAGCAGUCGGGAAUUUUGGGCAAUGGGCGAAAGCCUGACCCAGCAACGCCGCGUGAAGGAUGAAAUCCCUCGGGAUGUAAACUUCGCAAGAACGGGAAGAAUAAGUAGGGGACAA